GGGCAAGACAGGUGAAGUACCUGUACCGGCAAGCCGGCACUGGUUCUUCACUGCCCUUAAUCGCGCUUCGCGCUCUACGAGUGUCUUGCCCUGCGGGGCA
rfam:Pseudomonas alcaligenes NBRC 14159 DNA, contig: PA6070.